ACGGUGACUAGUCUGCGCCUCUGCUCCGCCUGUUGGCUCUGACAAGACAUUUCUGGUGUUGCACGUGACCCUAAUUCGGGCAACUGGAGUGUCCCAAAAAAAGAAAGACCUGCAUGUUUUUGUGAAUGCGGGCGGAAACCAGAGUACACGGAAAAGAUCCACACACACAAGGAGAAUAUGCAAACUACAUGCUGUGAGGCAAAAGUGCUACCCACUGCACCACCGUGCCACCCUGUAUCCUUUCAAUGAAUGAGAAAGUUAUUAGUAGAAACGUGUGAAUCAUAUUUUAAAUCCUCUCUCCUUUCCUGUCUCCUUUCCAUCCUAAUCUCCACCCUGUUUUAACGCAUUCACUCCAGCAUAUGCAUGAACACGUGUAUGAUAAAGAAAUUCACUGUGACGUAAUCCCUGCCAACUACAUCCUAAUGGCGAAUUUCAGUAAAUUAAGUGUAGAUAUUGUGACCUUGUAGAAGCUUCUUUUGCACCAGAAAGCAGUCGCAAUUCCCUUUUUUUUAAAAGAUGAUGAGUCGUUGUUGCAUCGUAAAUUUAAUUCUAAGCCAGUUUUUUCUAUCUUUUAAAACAGAAUGCAGUGCCUAUUUCUGUGUUUUUCCCUUCAGGUUAGGGAAGUUGUACUGCCUCUUCUAUAAAGCGCUGGGGGAAACCCUGCUCAGUAUUACUUACUUUCUUAUCUUACAAGCACAGGUUACCCAAUACUAGAUUUUGUAUUAAUGGACUAUUUUAAGCCUGCCGUGAAGUGGCGGCAAUUCAUGCGUUUGAUGGCGGGGGCAAGAAUGUCUGCAGCUACUCCCUCAAGAGGAUUUAGCUCCUUUUAUACUUCUAUACACACAAGUGCACCUCAGGACAAAGUGUCCUCAUCAGUUCUCCACUCCUCCAACCAUUCAUUUUAAACGUCACCUGAUAUACUGCAGUCACUGAAGAUAAAUGCCUUAGCACAUCUAAUGCUGUUGCCUUUAUAAACUUGCGAUUUAAAUCGUGCAAUUUAAAUGCAAAAUAAACAAGUAAUAAAUAAACUGUUGCCUUCUUUUCAUCCACUCAUCAAUACCUUCCCAAGUAAUGUUUCUUCCUCGUACUUCAGUCCCCAAAUUUGUUUUCGUUUGCAUUUAAACUUUACAAUAAUAAAUGAACUGAGCCUGAACCAGAAACCCCUUAUAGUACAUAAAUCUUUUUAGUCUCAGACAAUGGCAGCUAGAAACAAAAACAUGAUCGGUUCUGUACAUACAGUCACAUAUACAAGGUAUUUUUGGUUGCCUUUUCUAUUGUGGCCACCUUCCCCUGGGCCCUUGAGGCAUGUUUUAGUUGAAAUGGGAAAGACUGUGUGAUGCUUGCCCCAGAGAUGGUGAGUGACAUUUUCGUGAAUCGAUUGGUUCUGUCUGUAUUGCUCUAGAGAGGAUGGAAAUAGGCCUCGGUUAAUGGUCCUCUUCUCAGAGGACACUGACUUACAUUAUGACUGGCAUACUUUUCCUGCAGUGUACUUUUUGCAACUGCUUUUUAUGUGCCUUAACAAUAGCUUUUAUAAUAUAUAACUAUAUUUUGUGUUUCCUGAUUUCUUGACAUUCCCAUAUACUUGAAGUACAUAAAUUCACUGUGUUUGAUAUUCAAAUAUCUGUCACAGAGGGAUGGUGAUUAAUUCAGUUCUCAUUUCUGUUUACAUUCCAGGCCCUUUGUUUUUGUCUUGAUGGGAGAGUGGGACUUUGCAAACAGCCUUUUGGGUGGGGCUGUUAUGAACUGCGAACUACACGGUCAUGUUAACCGUACAAAGCACUUGUCUCGAAACAACGGCACCUAGUUCUGGGGGGGCACUCACAGCACAGUAUGUCAUCUUGCCAGAGCCUGAUGAACAUUGAUCAACCACUCUGAACUGAAUAACAAAUGAAAAGCUACAGAGAAAAUGAUAUGUCAUUGAUUUAACAAUCAUAUAUGUUAAAUUUAUAAAUAAUUCUUUAGGUCAUGCAAUACCAUUACAGUUAUGUUAUAAUUACUGUGCCGUCAAAAAGUAUUCAGACCCCUUCACUUUUUCCACAUUUUGUUACGUUACAGCCUUAUUAUAAAAUGGAUUAAAUUCAUUUUUAUUCUCAUCAAUCUACACACAAUACCCCAUAAUGACUAAGCGAAAACAGGUUUUUAGAAAUGUCUGCAAAUUUAUUAAAAAUAAAAAAUUGAAAUAUCUUUUACUUGAGAAAAAGGGGCUAAUGUUUGUGUCAUGGGUUGAAAGUAUAUAUCUGGGAAAAGAUUUCAAGUCCAUUGCAAACGAUUAGCAGUGGUGAACAUCCACUGGCUCACCAUCCUUGGAAAUGAACUGUUGACAAUCGCUUUCAUCUCCUAAUUAUGGAGCUUUAAUGCGAUCAGUAAGCACAGACCAUGUGAGGCAGAAAAAUGAGGUCCUAGGUACUGUAGCAGUGAUUAACCCUGAUAAUCAAAUGUAAGCCUUAACUGCAGUAAAGCCUUGACUAUAUUAACCUCAGUUACUUUGAACUACGUAGGGUUCAUAAGCCAUACAUUGUAUUCGUGUUGAAUCUCACUGCUCCUCUCCACUCCUAUGGGAUCAAAAGCCUGCCCAAAACAUGAGGUUUCUUAUCCUUUUUAUUGCCUUAAUUAAAUUAGCCUGCGGAACAGAGCCAAACUAAACUGCAGAGUCUCAUUCAAGUCAGCAGCAAUUAGAUCAGCAUAUCUUAAAAGUACAAACCAAUCAUUUAAAAGCUUGUUUGGAUUGAAGGACCAUACAAAGAAAAUACAUAAAUAUAUUUUAUAUUUAUGUUAAUGACCUGGUGUAAAGUAUAGUUUUGUAUACAGUGUUUUAAUUUUUUAUUUAAUUGUAGAUUUCCAUGAGGUAUUGCUGCCGACAGAGAUAAAUUAUUUAUUGUGCAUCUAUGAUAUAUAGCCUACCUGUCUUCCAAAUGUCUCCCAUUAUGCAUGUGUACAUCAUUGACGUUAAAUAAUUUAAAAAGUGCCUUUUAGGGUGUGUGUUAGUAUCCACCAUUAAAUAAUUUAGUUUGAGUGAUCAAGCUUUAGGAGAUGAGGUUCAAAACCGCAGCAUUAUCAGGUGAAAUGCCAACCUUGCAGCCUUCACAUAGACAGCAGCUGCUUUGCAGUAAGAGAUGUCAGUUUUCCUAGCCCACAGCUUUGUUUGCAAUUUAUAUUCAUAACAUUUGUUUGUCAUAAAGAAGGUCCACGGGGGUUUAAUUUAUCCAGAUAAUCUGCUGAGUUAGCAUACAUGGUCAUACAGUGCUGAUACUUUGUGAGUGUGUAUUAUGUGGCGUUGAUGUGCUGUAGAGUUCUGAUGUCAUUUCUACAGCCUUCCAUUGUGAAGCUUCUGCUGCACUCUGAACGAGUUUGUGUCUGCUUAUUCAGAGAUUAGCCAAGGUAAUCUCAGCAGUUGAAAGUAAUGUACAAUUAGUAAUGUGCUCUAUCCACAUGAACGCCAUUGCUAGGGUAGAAUUGGUAGUGUAACAUUAGGCCUACUCCGCUUGCUUAACUGAACAUUUGUUUGUAUAAAGGACCAUUAAUUUAAAAAAUGAAUGGUCCCAAUGGAAAAAUAAAUAAAUACAGCUGUUUGAAUGCUUUGUCCUGACGGCCUAUUUACAUUGGAAUAUGAUCUUUGUUGCAUUUUUGUCAGGACCAAGAAAAACAGGUUCAAUAAUGAAUAUAACUUUUAAAAAGUUUGAAGGACAAACUUCAAUAUUAGUUAGCUUGUGCUUGUGAUUUUUGAAAGGUUAAACUUACAAGGAAGGUCUACAGACAGUCAUGUUAAAAUAGUGGUAUCAACCUGAAAGUCAAGUUUCUAGUCCACUUUGAUCCAGUGUAGUUGUAGCUAUUACCUAGCUUACUGCUUGUUACAAACUGGAAUCAUUUACAGAGUUUGGUUGUGUGCAACUCCUACCUACAACUAAAAUAGAUAGCCAGCUCGAUAGUAGCAAACUUUCAAAUGUCAAAGCACCUGAAAGUGCUCUGGUGUUUGGUGGAUUUUUUCAUACGCCACACUCUGAAAGGUCUUUAUCACAUUGGCUAUGCAAAGGCUGACCACUUCAUUACUUAAAUGCAUAUGUAUAGCCAUAAUAUCAAAAAAAAAUGUCUGCCUUUGCAAUUGGAAUGACCAGGCGUAUAAUCAGUUAAGAAUUAAGGUACUUAUACUGAUCAGAGAACUAAAAGUCCGCCUUGUAUGUUUCUGAAAAAUUGAGUACUUUCACGUGCCUUGGGGUCGGGUGGGGAAGCUUUUCCAUUCUGAUCUAUAUUCAAAGGUAUAAGGAGUGCCAGUAAGCCUAAGGGGAAGAAAAGUGUGCUUUUUAAAAUUAUCCAGUGGAUAUUUUGUUAUGGUUACAUGCAGUUUUUUUAAUACUCUGGUAGUUUUAACCAUGUCCUAGUUCUGAUGAUGCUUAUUUUUUCAGUAGUUUUAUGUCAUCUCUCCCUGACUUAAAUAGGUAUCAACUUAUAUCGGGGGAGAUUUUAACUGCUAUGUACAUUCAGUAUUGGAUAACCCAUGCUAUAAAGCAAAGUUCACAGAUCAUGUCCCACUCUGGAAAGGCCUUUCCCUUCUGAAAGGGUAGAUACUGGCAGUUUAAUAUUAAGUUAUUGCCUGAUGAAAAGUUUAUGAAAUUUUGGCUUGAAUGGAUUCAGGUUUUUCUUAGAUAUUAACACAUCCCCUGUGGCUGAGAAGAUCACUGUCUGGGAGGCAUUAAAGGCAUAGCUACAAAAUAAAAUUAUCUCCUGUACUGUACAGAGGGCUAAUAUGUCUAAAAACUAAAACUAGAGUUGACAGAACAUAAUCUCCAUUCAGUUAAACAGCAUGCCAUCUCUCCACAGCCGUUUGUUUACAAGGAAUGUGUGAGGCUGCAGACAGAAUUUGACCUUCUUAAACCAUCAAACUGAAAACUAAUCAAGAUGAAGUUUUCAUUCUGUGAAGAGGGUGAGAAGAUAACAGAUUUAUGGCUCAUCAGUUGUAUUGUUCCAAAGCUGCACUGCUGAUUACUGGGCUUUGCACAGUCAGGGUGAGUCAUGUCUGACCAGAGUUGAAUCAGUCAAAUUUCAAAAGCUGUAUUUUAACCUGUACAUCUUAAUUAGAGACAAGGGGCUGUUGAGUGGCUCCUCCUAUUAAGGCUGUGUUCUAGGGCAUGGGUGGGCCCCAUAGUCAUGUUUUAGUCAGGCAGGAUGAUAAUAUCUCAUCACACACCUUCAACCCCUGAUGGGCAAUUGGGUGCCUACAAGUUUCUGUGUCUUUUUUAAUAGUAUGUUGGUGUGUGUUUUUGAUUGGCCCAGACAGUGUUUUGUGUGUGUGUGCGUGUGAAUGUGUGUGAGAGGAAGGAUGUUUUUAAUAUUGUGUGAUUUGUGGUCUAAAGCAAAAAAAAAUGCCCGACAGGUAACUCCAAAGCAGCUUGAACAGUGACUUUUCUUAUUAAUGGAGUGGUGCAUGGGGCUUGUGCAUUAAUGUAAUGAUGCAGAGGGUUUGUGCAUAGUAGUCUGCUUCCCUUGGAAGGAGUCGGAUGAUUUGUGUGGAUGUAGCAUCCUGUUUGCAGUCUGUUUGGGGGCAUUAAUAGGGGUGUUGCUGCUGUAGAGCUAAUGGAGAGCUCAUUGUUCUUCCUGGCCCUCCAUGAGUCCCUGCCAGACCCCCACUCCACCUUUGCAUGUCUAUGCAUCUCUGUGUACUCUGUCUUUCACCGUGUCUUUUUUUGUCACCUCAGGUUGGAAGCGACACGGAGGUGCAGUGGGUAGCACUGUUGCCUCACAGCAAGAAGGUUUCUGUGUGCAGUUUCUCCAGGUACCCCGGCUUUCUCCCACAGUCCAAAGACAUGCAGGUACGCUAAUUAGAGACUGCAAAUUGCCCAUAGGUAUGAGUGCGUGAGUGAAUGGUGUGCGUGCCCUACGAUCGAUUGGCAGCCUGUCCAGGGUGCAUACCUGCAUCUCACCCAAUGCAAGCUGGGUUAGACUCCAGCACCCUCCACAACAGUGACCAGGGUAAGUGGGUGUAUAUAAUUGUAGUUGUAUUCCAGGUUUCCUGAACCACAGCCCCCUAAUGUCAUCCUCCAUCUGCACCACAAAUCAUCAAAUACUGCAUGACUGCCUGGUAUACUAAUGUUUCUGUUCAGGCUAGAUAAAAAAAGAAUUCUGAACCUCUUUAGACUUGCUUCAAAGUACUGAAUUGUCUUCUGUUGGAUGUUUCUGCACUUACAUUUUUGACCGUGAGUCUGUCUUUUUAUUUAUUUACAUGUAUUUGUGUUUAUUUAUUGACUGUUAGGUACUUAAAUGGUAAUUAUGCAUGCUUUACUCAUAUAGCUUGGAUGAUAACUGAUUAGGACAGGGCUGUAUGUUAUGAUUAUGAUCAUGUAUCAUGUCUUUUAUUAUAUUGUUUGUUGUUAAAUGAGUAUUUGUUUUCAAGUGUGACUACUAAGAUUUUUGUGUGCAGCAGACAAUAAAGAUCUGUCUAUCUAUC